rnacentral:lncRNA from 1 species
CUAACCACAUUAGAGACAUACUAACUUCAACCUAAUCACAAAGCUUUCGCUAUAAUUGAUUCCACAUCACUCUCGUUUCUUAGAUCCUUAAGUUUUCCAUUCCUAAGGGUCUCUAGGUCCAUCCUAUACUUUCACUUUUCAGGCUCUGAUACCAUUAUAUCUGUCACACCCCGGGACCGGCCUAUUUGGUCGGUUUGGGCACGUCGAACAGACGUCGAACGGACAGCAUCUCCCCUAUCCGCCCAAGGCUCAACGCAAGUACAGAUCAAGUAUAUAGUUUGCACAAGCGGAAACAUAAACUUACUUGGCUUGCACGAGGGCAAGCAAUAGCCAAAAGUGAAAGUACUGACUAAGCCUCCAUACAAGUAUAAUGAUUACCUUUUAAUCACAUACAUACAUUCUACCACAAGUUACAUUUACAAUCUUUUCAUCAUUUCUUUUCCAUCACAUAAUCUCCCAAAAUAUAAACUUUUACAUUCAAACAUAAGCUCUCUUUACAUCAUUCAUAAUAUUAGCAUCAUCAAAUACAAAAGAUGAUAUAUAGAGGGUAUGAAACUAAACAAGUAAGAACCCAACUCGAGUGGUCACUAGCUAUGGCGCGAUACUUUUACCGCGAUCGUCAGCCGGCUCACUCGGUCCCGGCUCUGUGGAAAAUAGUGGGGUGAGAAGUACAACCAAGUUUCCAGUGGGUUCGGCCGCCGACCUCGCCGACUUUCCCACUAGGUCUAAAUCAGGCAUAAUAGAAGAAUAACAGAUAAAUAGUAACCAACUAAAUAAAUGCAACUAAUAUGCCUGAACAAGAUAUAAUCAAUAAAGAUGCUCAAAUAGAAUGCUCAUGAUGAAUGCAAGAUCUCAUUGUCCAUUACUCAAUUUCUUGGCUAACCGAUAGGUUUCGCCCUCAAUAGACUCACCAACUCAAAUCCCUAAUAUCGGGAAGAUACUCGCCACAACCCGAAGGGAUCGUCCUCUAGGAAAAACACCAAUCCAGUGAUGACACUCCGGAGCUCAUCGCUCGAGGUGGAGAUACCACUCUCGAGCCAAGACUUAUAGGCGAGUAUGAUCCAAUCCUUAACUUUAAAGAUGUCAAGUUCAAUCCAUUCCUUAACUAUAAGGAUGCAAUACUCAAUCAAACCUUAUCUAUAAGGUUGCCUCAACU